rnacentral:sRNA from 1 species
CAGUCAAGAUAUUGAGGCGUUCACCCUGAUAACAGGCUCUGAACGGGGAGCAUUAAAGCGCAGUGCAGAGCACAGAGCGCGCUCCUGCAAUAACUCAACAGAUAGCGCCCUGCUACACAAUAUCUGACU